rnacentral:rRNA from 1 species
ACACGCAUGACACACUGCAUAUCAAUAAGCGGAGGAAAAGAAACUAACAAGGAUUCCCUUAGUAACGGCGAGUGAAGCGGGAAGAGCUCAAAUUUGAAAUCUUCAAGGGUUUACCUUUACGAAUUGUAGUUUAAAGAAGUGUUUUCUGUUGGAGUUUCGGUAAAAGUUCUUUGGAAUAGGACAUCAUAGAGGGUGAGAAUCCCGUAUUUGACCAGUUACUUUCCAGCUGUGUGAUACACUUUCAAAGAGUCGGAUUGUUUGGGAAUGCAGUCCAAGAUGGGUGGUAAAUUUCAUCUAAAGCUAAAUAUUGGCGAGAGACCGAUAGCGAACAAGUACCGUGAGGGAAAGAUGAAAAGAACUUUGAAAAGAGAGUUAAACAGUACGUGAAAUUGUCAAAAGGGAAGCGUUUGACACCAGUGUUGUUUAGCUCGAAAAUCAAUUAAAAUGAUGGAUUUUGUAAGUUAGUAUUGACUUCAUCAGCUUGCUGCCUUUUUCUUAGCAAUUAUUGAAUGCACUUUUCAGUUAACAAGUCAACAUCAAUUUCUUUUGUUGUAAAAGAGUCAGUAGGAAGGUGGCUUUGGCUUCGGAUAAAGUGUUUAUAGCCUUUAUCUUCUGCAAUCGGAGAGAUUGAGGUCUGCAGCGUAGAUCCUUCGGGGUUAGAUACAUUGGUGCUAAGCUAUAGUUCUUGUAUAGACAACUUGUUGACUAUGAUCAGUCCUGUAGCUUACUCGCUGAUGCUAUUUUACCUACGCUUAGGAUGUUGAUCUACAGAGCGAGAGU